rnacentral:rRNA from 1 species
AAUGAACGCUGGCGGCAGGCCUAACACAUGCAAGUCGAACGGAUCCUUCGGGAUUAGUGGCGGACGGGUGAGUAACGCGUGGGAACAUACCCUUUGGUACGGAAUAGCCUCGGGAAACUGGGAGUAAUACCGUAUGUGGUCGAGAGACGAAAGAUUUAUCGCCAAAGGAUUGGCCCGCGUUGGAUUAGGUAGUUGGUGGGGUAAGGGCCUACCAAGCCGACGAUCCAUAGCUGGUUUGAGAGGAUGAUCAGCCACACUUAGACUGAGACACGGCCCAGACUCCUACGGGAGGCAGCUGUGGGGAAUUGUAUACAAUGGGGGAAACCCUGCUCUAGCCUUGCGGCGUGGUCGAUGAAGGCCUUAGGGUUGUAAAGAUCUUUAAGGGGGGAAGAUAAUGACUGUACCACCGGAAGAAGCCCCGGCUAACUCCGUGCCAGAAGCCGCCGUAACAC